UAACAUGUGGUGCCGGGGUAACUAAAACUCUGAGUUCUGUUAGCUUCAGAGUUUUGUUCCCCCGACUCCAUAUGGA
rnacentral:pre_miRNA from 1 species